rnacentral:rRNA from 1 species
ACCGGCGCACGGGUGAGUAACACGUAUCCAACCUUCCGUUUACUCAGGGAUAGCCUUUCGAAAGAAAGAUUAAUACCUGAUAGUAUGGUGAGAUUGCAUGAUAGCACCAUUAAAGAUUUAUUGGUAAACGAUGGGGAUGCGUUCCAUUAGGUAGUAGGCGGGGUAACGGCCCACCUAGCCGACGAUGGAUAGGGGUUCUGAGAGGAAGGUCCCCCACAUUGGAACUGAGACACGGUCCAAACUCCUACGGGAGGCAGCAGUGAGGAAUAUUGGUCAAUGGGCGAGAGCCUGAACCAGCCAAGUAGCGUGAAGGAUGAAGGUCCUACGGAUUGUAAACUUCUUUUAUACGGGAAUAAAGUAUCCUACGUGUAGGAUUUUGUAUGUACCGUAUGAAUAAGCAUCGGCUAACUCCGUGCCAGCAGCCGCGGUAAUACGGAGGAUGCGAGCGUUAUCCGGAUUUAUUGGGUUUAAAGGGAGCGCAGACGGGAGAUUAAGUCAGUUGUGAAAGUUUGCGGCUCAACCGUAAAAUUGCAGUUGAUACUGGUUUCCUUGAGUGCAGUUGAGGCAGGCGGAAUUCGUGGUGUAGCGGUGAAAUGCUUAGAUAUCACGAAGAACCCCGAUUGCGAAGGCAGCUUGCU